GGGGAUUUAGCUCAGUGGCAGAGCAUUUGUCUAGUAAGUACAAGACCCUGGGUUUGAUUCUCAGCUCUG
rnacentral:tRNA from 1 species